CCUACGGGAGGCAGCAGUCGAGAAUCAUUCACAAUGGGGGAAACCCUGAUGGUGCGACGCCGCGUGGGGGAAUGAAGGUCUUCGGAUUGUAAACCCCUGUCAUGUGGGAGCAAAUUAAAAAGAUAGUACCACAAGAGGAAGAGACGGCUAACUCUGUGCCAGCAGCCCUGGUAAUACAGAGGUCUCAAGCGUUGUUCGGAAGCACUGGGCGUAAAGCGUGCGUAGGCUGGUUCGUACAUCGUGUGUGAAAGGCGUGGGCGCAAACCGCGGACGGCACAUGAUACUGCGAUACUAGAGUGAAGGAGGGGGAACCGGAAUUCUCGGUGUAGCAGUGAAAUGCGUAGAUA
rnacentral:rRNA from 1 species